UACGGAAGGCAGCAGUGGGGAAUAUUGCACAAUGGGCGAAAGUCUGAUGCAGCUAUGCCGCGUGUAUGAAGAAGGCCUUAGGGUUGUAAAGUACUUUCAUCGGGGAGGAAAAACAAAACUAAUAAUUUUAUUUCUUGACGUUACCCGAAAAAGAAGCACCGGCUAACUCCGUGCCAGCAGCCGCGGUAAUACGGAGGGUGCUAGCGUUAAUCAGAAUUACUGGGCGUAAAGAGCACGUAGGUGGUUUUUUAAGUCAGAUGUGAAAUCCCCUGGGCUUAACCUGGAACUGCAUUUUGAAACUGAAAUACUAGAGUAUCGUAGAGGGAGGUAGAAUUCUAGGUGUAGCGGUGAAAUGCGUAGAUAUCUGGAGGAAUACCUGUGGCGAAAGCGGCCUCCUAAACGAAUACUGACACUGAGGUGCGAAAGCGUGGGGAGCAAACAGGGAUUAGAUACC
rnacentral:rRNA from 1 species